rnacentral:misc_RNA from 1 species
GAUGAAGAACGCAGCGAAAUGCGAUACGUAAUGUGAAUUGCAGAUCUCUCAGUGAACCAUCGAAUUUUUGAACGCACAUAGCGCCCGCCGGUCAUUCCGGCGGGCAUGCCUGUCCGAGCGUCGAUGACGCCGCUCGAGCCCCCGUGCUCGGUGUUGGGGCGCUAGGUCUCCCAGAGGCCUAGGCCCCCAAGUAGCAGUGCGCGGUCCGGCUGCGGGCCCCGGGUACAGUAACUUCACCGUUGAGAUGCCCUGGGAGCCGCUGGCUGGGUCAUCCGUAAAACCCCCGACAUAGGCCUCUCUGCCCGCCCCCGGCGGGGGGGGAGACCGCCUAAUGUUGACCUCGGAUCAGGUAGGACUACCCGCUGAACUUAAGCAUAUCAAUAAGCGGAGGA